AUGAUCGCUGAUUUGCUAGACAACAGAAUUGAGGAAGUUGGGAAAGAUAAUCCCGUGCAAGUUGUCACCGACAAUGGUGCUAACUACAAGGCAGCUGGCCACCUUUUAGAGUCGAGGAUCUCUGCACUAUAUUGGAGUCCUUGUGCAUGCCAUUGCUUGGAUCUAAUGCUCGAAGACAUAGGGAGGUUGAAGGCAUUCAAGAAACCUAUUGCACAGGCUAGAGGUGUCACAACUUUCAUCUAUAGUCAUGGGAGAAUUCUUAGUCUAAUGAGGAAGGCGACGAAUGGGAUAGAUCUUGUGAGACCAGCAGGCAGCAGCCACUCGUUUCGCCACAGCCUUCCUUCACCAAAGAGUUUGGUGCUUUGA
rnacentral:rRNA from 1 species